rnacentral:rRNA from 1 species
CCUACGGGUGGCAGCAGUGAGGAAUAUUGGUCAAUGGACGAGAGUCUGAACCAGCCAAGUAGCGUGAAGGAUGACUGCCCUAUGGGUUGUAAACUUCUUUUAUAUGGGAAUAAAACGUUCCACGUGUGGGAUUUUGUAUGUACCAUAUGAAUAAGGAUCGGCUAACGCCGUGCCAGCAGCCGCGGUAAUACGGAGGAUCCGAGCGUUAUCCGGAUUUAUUGGGUUUAAAGGGAGCGUAGGUGGAUUGUUAAGUCAGUUGUGAAAGUUUGCGGCUCAACCGUAAAAUUGCAGUUGAAACUGGCAGUCUUGAGUACAGUAGAGGUGGGCGGAAUUCGUGGUGUAGCGGUGAAAUGCUUAGAUAUCACGAAGAACUCCGAUUGCGAAGGCAGUUCACUGGACUGCAACUGACACUGAGGCUCGAAAGUGUGGGUAUCAAACAGGAUUAGAUACCCCAGUAGUC